rnacentral:pre_miRNA from 1 species
UCUUAUGGAGGAGCAAAGAAAGUAGGUUCUUGAGAUUGGAUCUGCUCCUGAUGAAGAUGCUGUGAA